UCGCAGAUGUGAAUUUUACAAAUGACGAAGAAGAAGAUGAAAGCUGAAAGGUAUAUGCUCUGAUACCAUAUUAGAGCCAAUAUGAACUAUGAAAUGCUGAAAUAUUAUUUAUCUGAAUUCACAUGGAAUGACUGAGUUUAUACAAUAUAAAUAGGCGCCAAAAGUAACUAACAAUACAACUAACAUCCAGCUGGCACAACUAACAUCCAGCUGGCACACUAACAUGCCAACCGUGUUCUAACCAUACAAAUGGUAUUGCUUCUAAUACGAUGCAGCAGCGCAGCCGGCAAUGGCACCAAUGAUGGUGGUGAUGUGGAGGAGGAUCAAGAAGAAGCCACAGAGCAAAGGGAUUAGUCGAAGGGAAAGGGUCAAGAAAAUGCAACUAGAGGCUGCACCUAAGAGUAUGUAAUUGCAUAAGACGAACACUUUGUGAGUGCGAGGAUGAGAUUCAUAAGAAUUUUCUAUGUAUAAUCCUCCCAUUUCUUGCAACUUUCUAAGAGAAUCUGGGAAAUUAGGGUUUGCUGAUGAGAAAUGGGGGGAAAAUGCAGAAUUCAAAGGCUGAUUUGCUUUAUGGAAU
rnacentral:lncRNA from 1 species